GAUCCUGUUAAGUUGUUUGGUGCACAUGCAUAGCUGUCUGAGGUCUUUGAGACAAGGACAGGUGCAUGUGGGCCCGAUAACUUGGGAGGUUCUGCGACAGCUGGCAUCGGAGCUUGAUUAAGUAUGAUACGGUCACAUACGUAUUUUUAAAACAAAAUUUUGGUUUUGAAAAAUCUAUUUUCAACUAAACACAUUGUUUGGUUUUGAAAAACAUAUUUGAAAAACUAUAAUGCUAGCGACAUCCUCUGUUAAGCCCUAAAUUAAGGACUAUUAGGUGGCUUAGUUCAGAAUACUAACCCACAAUCUGGGAAGGGUAAUGCAUACAUGUGUAAUGUUAUUUUUGAGGUCAUUCAGUUUUGAAUGGAUCGACGCUCAAGGUAAGGUGAGAUGUGAGAGCAUGACCGAACAACCGUCGGUCUAGGGAAGAGCAUAAAAAGCGCUUGAUUAUAUACAUGUUACACAUAUGUAUAUAUGAAGGCUGCGAAGUGGAGUAAUUACUUUUUGGGAUUCAGUACCCCAUGGAUGUGUAUGGGUAUACAGACAUGGGAAUACUGAGAAGUGUAAUGUACUUGCAACGACACACCUACGCUUAGGUAAGAAGGUAAUGUACCACAAUGGGCUGCCCUGUGGUUAAAGUGUGGCAGCGGCGCCUAUGCGUGGCUCGGCGCUUAAUGAGGAGCUGGCCUCCAUAUAGCAAUAUAUGGAGUAUAAACUGUGAUAAACUGUCAUGUGUGAAUUGCAUCAUUGGGAAUUGGGCUGUAAUGGAUUUUUCUACAGGUACACUAACUUCGAACUCGUAUGUGUAGCUGACGACUAGCAAUAUAUCGAGAGAGACGUAGAUAUGCCACCGAUAUAGAGCGCUAUUGCCAUAUUAAGUUGGCAAAAUUCGUGAGGACGAAUAGGACGAGCAUGCAUCUUGAUUGUUGCAUUGUGUUUGUUGUUUGCGCACAGAAAUGCUUCCCUCACCUUUAUUCUAAUAAUAGGUGAUUGUAAAUGAACAUGCUUUUCUCAUCUUUAUUCUGAUAAUAAAUAACUGAAAACUGUGUGAAGCAUUACUGUCCUAUAAGUAAUUUCUAGCUUUGUUUGAUGUGUCCUUUAGACAUGUUUUUAUGUGGCCUGAGGUUCUUCUUAAUUUGACCGCUAGUCUAACUUGUGUUUGUUCUGGUGUGUUUCUGCUGAUAGAAUGUUGGUGGUAUGUUUGUGUAAACUAAAAAUUUGGACAUGUCCUCAUCUAGGAGCCAUGACCCAAAUCGAUGUUAAUCCCCUGAAAUUUUCCCCAGUUUCCAAAUGCGGACGAGUCUGAAUUUUUCCAUCGUUACUUUGUGAUCAAGGUCAUAUAAAUAGAUGUUUAGGUAAUCCCCUUAUUGGACCUAAGAUGCACUCAAACUUAAAAAAAUAAUAAUCUCGAGUCCCCUGAUCUUAACAGCCAACUUGUAGCUCUUAUGGUCCUAUUUUCAUCCUAAAACAUACCUUUGUUCGGUUGGUGCAAGCUGAUGUACCUUAUCGAGUUUGCCUGUUUUUAUGGACCGCCAUGUGACUUUAUCGACCUAACUUAGGAAAGAUAUGUCCGAUCAUUUUACUGAGUUCGGUGCCUUUGGUUUUCUCAUAUCUAUCAAAGGCAUACCAACUUAAUCCUAUGAUUGUUUUCCCUCCGUAUCUAAUCAGAUAAUAAUCCUUGACCUUGUAAUUUCUGCGAUGGGCAUAGAAAUAUGCUUGGGGAUGAAGUAUCAGUCUCCCAUCGUACUCGCUCACCAAUAAGUUUAGGUCAUGGCCAUGCCUUGUUCAGUUCAUCGGGCCAUGAUCUAUUUGGAUCUCUACUUGUAAUCAUUCUUACAUGUGGAGUAUCUCAUUGUAUAUUGUCACCCUUGCUCAAUCCAUUUGUACCGCAUGAGAUUUCUUAUUGGUUACAUCUAGUAAUGGUGUUAUGACUAAAACCGAUGGUGCUGCGACGAAAUCGAGGGCCUUCUGUGGGUGCGCACACAUGGUUGUGCUACUCGGCACGCGCUGGUAUCACAGUUAGUAGUUGUAAUCCAUUAUGAGACUAUGUCAAUGUGUUAUCUUGGCACAAUCUAUUUUUGCUAUGUGAGAUUGUUAUUGGUGUCAGUUCGGUAGUGGUGUCACGAUUAAGGACUUAUGGUGCCGCAGCGAAACUGAGAGCCUCCUUUGAAUGCGCACACAGGGAUGUGCUACUCGUCGGAUGCUGGUAUCAAGGUCUCUAGUCAUGAUCCAUUGUGGAACUACACUGAUAUGUUGUCUUCCGUAAACUACUUCCUUGAAACAAUUUCUAUGUUGUUUGUGAAGUGAUCAAGCAACAUUUAUCGUCUCUGUUGGAUCAAACGAGCAUACCACUUUCAUAUGUGAUCUCUUUUCUUUUGAUCUUGGUAGUGACUACUCAUACAAGUUCCCUUUAUGUCCUUUUUGUAAAGGUGAAGCCUUGGAGCUUUUUAGUGUGGGAAAACAACUGGUUAGCUCUCAAAAUGGAGAUUGACUUUCCCAGCUGCUGAGAUGCAGGAGUUUGUUCAUUCGCUCUCUUAUUUUAUCCAUGUAUUCCCGAACCAAGUCUGUUCAUUUCGCAUGGAAGAAACGGAUGAACAACCUGACCAAAUGGAUUUCUACCCAAGAGGUUGCAUCUGAUUCUGUUUGGGUAAAAUCGCAUAUCUGUCGCUUGCUCAACAGACUCAGAUAGUACAGUGUCAUCAGAAAAAAAACAAACUGCACACGUGAAACCUUAUGUGUUCUUCUGGCAGACAUCGUCUCUAUUGGUGGACAUCUCUAAAUUAGCGUAAGGCUAUACAUGAUAUGUCCACUAGAGAAACAACAUUCUGAGACACUCGCCUUUGCUUGGAACUGUCUUAUGAUUAUAACUGAUAUGGACAAGAGUUACAUGCCUCUCUACUCUUAGAAGUCUUUCGUUCUGAAUCUCGGGACGAGAUUCUUUUAAGGGGGAAGGUUGUAACACCCCAGGUGUUUGUCUCCCGUUCAACAGCGACUAUGGAUUUAAGCGCGGGAUAUCGGUAAAUAAAUUGGACACUAAUUUUUAAUCAACCUCGUUUAUCACGAUUUUGAUCUCGUGUCUGCCUCCGUCUGUCUAAAUUUUUCCAAAUCCAUUUCUUUUAAAAUUCAGCCUUUGGUAAUCUUUGGAACAUCGAAUCCAGUAUCGUUUGGGUUGAGCCCUCGACGUCUUGCCUAAACUAUAAUUUUUGAAAUCAAAAGUAGCUUCUUAAACUUCAUUUGAAAUUCUUUCACGCUUGCGUUGCACGUGUCUCUCUGUGGCCUGACACCGUGACGCGUGUGGCGGGUGCUAACCGGUGUCUGGACAGCGCCCAGCUUCUCGCCCCGUGAAUGAUGCGUGACGUCGCUUCCGAAAGGAUCACAAUUUCGAUGCUACAUCGAUCCCGCGUAUUUAUUUCGCGAUAUGUCGAGUCUGGUGCCUGUUUAAAAAUUUAUUGAUCAGAUGAAUGUACAACUGAUUUUAACCAAAUCAACCACGUCUGAAAUCUUAUAACCAAUAUUAUUUUGGUUGGUCCAUUUGCAUCUCACUAAAAAUCCCCACUUAAGAACAGAGUUAAAUUUUGUAGUCUUUUGUAAAAGAAAAAUUUGGAGAAACAAAAAAUUUGAAUUCUUAUUCUCUUCCUAGACUGCCACCUCCUCCCCCACGUGGUCUUCCUUCUGGAAUUCUCCCAGCCGACCGAAGCCAGGCUUCAUCUCCUCACGGCGCUCUGCCCUGGCUACCUCCACCAUGCCGUCCUCCCUUGCUUCCCCCACACGGUGUCUCCUUCUCUGAUUGCAGUUGUGGAGCAGCAGCUGCCGUUGUCUUCCCUGGCUUCUCCCAUGGCCGCCUAUCCCCCAUCCCCUCCACCGUGCCCUCUCAUCUCCUAGCCCCUCUGCUCGCCACCAUCCCCUAUACCCUUGCUAGCAGCAUGGCGCUCAUCCCUUCCUGAUGUGAGCUGCACAUGACGUCUCCAGCUCUCCAUUGAUGGCAGCUAGCUGCGCCCUCACUUCCUCCCAUGGUGAGCUCGCCCAUGGUGGCUCCUCCUGCUCGGCGUACUCCCCUCUGCAGGAGCUCGCCCAGCCCCUCUCUGCUAGGAACAGCAGCACCUCCCUCCAUGGAUGCCUAGUUGUUGACUUGUGCAAUUCAUAGUCAUCGGUGAGGUCCCUUUGUCUUAUGCUACUUAUCUCCUUAAUCGAUAUAUGUGGUUUGUGGUUGAUUGUGAGUAUGUGUGUGCUUAUGUGUGAGAUGUGAGGGGAAAUCCCAGGAUUUAGUGGAGAAGAAGCACAGUCCAAUAUGACGCCCGCCGGGUGUUCGACGAAAUGGGAGACCAAGGAACUGUCGUCGUUCUUGCAAGAAAAAUCAAGUCGGAUCAUGAUGUGGUACGUUAUUUGAUCGCACGAUGUGGAGGAAAAGUGUUGGAUUAACCUCAAAGUGAUGCUAACGAAUAAACCAGAGGAAUGGAUGAUCUGAUCAAGUGCCAGGAUGGAAGAUGCUCACCAAGUGGUCAUCAUCUAACAACACUUAGUGUUAUCCCAG